UAGAAAGAAAAAAAAGACAACAAGCACCAAGAACUUUUAUUCAUAUAUUUCUUCGCAUAAUACAUAACAUCACCACCUUAUUUAAUAUAUAUUGUUAUGAAGAUGAUAAUACUAGCCUAAUUAUUAUCAUCUUCUGCAGCAGCUGGAAUCUUGGCGGUGGAGGUGGCGGUGGCAGUGGCGACAGAUGGGAAACCGGGGGGAACACCAUCACCACAUGGUGGAUUGUGGCAAGGACAGUUGUUGAAACACAUGGUGGAGGGUGGAGGCAUGUCAGCAGUGGUUGUUGGGGAAAGAAGGAGGCCGGUUGA